rnacentral:rRNA from 1 species
UACGGAGGAUGCGAGCGUUAUCCGGAUUUAUUGGGUUUAAAGGGUGCGUAGGCGGGACCUUAAGUCAGCGGUAAAAUUGCGGUGCUCAACCCCGGCGAGCCGUUGAAACUGGCUGUCUUGGGAUGUCGAGAGGUAUGCGGAAUGCGCAGUGUAGCGGUGAAAUGCUUAGAUAUUGCGCAGAACUCCGAUUGCGAAGGCAGCAUACCGGCGGCGAUCUGACGCUGAGGCACGAAAGCGUGGGUAUCGAACAGG